ensembl:lncRNA
GUCUCAUGUGGCGUCAUCUUGUAAUGGUCAUUGUGACGUCAAAGCACUGGUGAGAAACCUCUUGGUGCUUUUAGUGUUGCGGAGACGGGGAGAGAGAAUAGACGGGACUCCGUUGAGGGCAGCGCUGCGCAAACUAAGUGAUUUUCGGGUGCAACAUCACAAACGGGUCACGGGGGUUAGGCCUAAUCAACUGUCAAAUCAAAUGAUCAUUAUGCCCCUUCAACAGUCGUUAUUUAUCUGAUGAUCUGAAGUCAAGACCUAGGUCGGAGUUCGCCUACAAUUACCCUUUUUUGGUUUCUUCUUCUUUUGACAUUGAUCGCGCUGUAGCAUAGGUUAUUUCCCCCAGCUUUACAGAGAGUGAACAUAACUCAAUCCCGGACAAACAAGUUCUCAUUAAAAUUGAUUAAUUAUAUAUUUUCCCAAAGGAAUGUACUUUUGGAGAAGCAUGCUGCUCUUGGAAAUCUCGAGGUUUGCCUUGUCCUGAGUAGAUUGAUCACAUGGGAUACAGAAGACAGAAGGACUCCUCUCACCCUGUACCGAGGCUGCAAUAGGACAUCUAAAACCUUUACUAUCCCUGUGGGAAUAUGUACAACCAUCCACCUCUCCAGGACAAAGGAUGUCAGAACUGAUACAGAGUCUGGAACAAUGCCAACCCCAGAGAGAGGCUGUCUGGAAUGUCUUUUACCUUGUUGUUUUUUAUUAUCACGGGACACAAACAAGCAAACAAGAAGAUGUUAUCAGAUAUGUUUGUUUGGAUGAAAGGGAGAAACCCAGAGGGCUUUCCUUCUGACCAGGCUCUUCUCUACACUAUGAGCUGAUUGACCCCUCUCUGCCCCCCUCCAAA